AUUGAACGCUGGCGGCAUGCUUUACACAUGCAAGUCGAACGGCAGCGCGGGCUUCGGCCUGGCGGCGAGUGGCGGACGGGUGAGUAAUUCAUCGGAACGUGCCCAGUUGUGGGGGAUAGCUCGGCGAAGGCGGGAUUAAUACCGCAUACGACCUGAGGGUGUAAGCGGGGGAUCUUCGGACCUCCCGCUAUUGGAGCGGCCGAUGGCCGAUUAGCUGGUUGGUGGGGUAAAGGCCUACCAAGGCGACGAUCUGUAGCUGGUCUGAGAGGACGACCAGCCACACUGGGACUGAGACACGGCCCAGACUCCUACGGGAGGCAGCAGUGGGGAAUUUUGGACAAUGGGCGAAAGCCUGAUCCAGCAAUGCCGCGUGUGUGAUGAAGGCCUUCGGGUUGUAAAGCACUUUUGGCGGGAACGAAAAGGACUGUGCCAAUACCACGGUUCGAUGACGGUACCCGCAGAAUAAGCACCGGCUAACUACGUG
rnacentral:rRNA from 1 species